GUCGAAGAAUUGCUUCUGGAUUGCUGGGCGGCGUACCUAAUUCAUAAAUAUUAUUUAACGUUUAAAAUAAAAUUUUACUCUUUUAUUGGCUUCUUUCCCUUUGAAAAAUUGUGAAAGGAAAUAUAGAAAUGGGUACCCACAAAAGAUUUAAUAUAGAAUAUGAAAUUUAUAAAUAAUAUAUUAUAAUUUAUAACGAUAAUUUCAUUACUUUUAAAAUGAAAAGAAAAAUGAAGGAUCUAAAGAUAAUUCUUACAAGUGAAAUAAAGUAUUAAAAAGUCUGAAUUUAAAUAUGAGGUGAGAAGAAAAAAUAGAAAACAACGAACAGGAGAGCAGGUUGUGCCUCAAUUUUUGUGACUGGCACAUGAGAGACAGUUGGCACGUGUUUGACGUAUGGUACAGCAGCCACUGCUGGCACUUGGGCAGCGGCAUAUCCAAUGUGUUCUGCUUCAACUUUAGCGGGAACACUAUAUGCAAGCUGUGCCUCUUGUCCGAUAUUAUUUAUGGCGGCUGCCACUGUGAAGAGAACUCCGAACUUCAUCCUGGAAUGACAUAGUAAAUUAACUAUGAAAUACUAAUUAUGAAAUUUACUAAUAUCUUUUAUUAGUGGACAGUUGCUAGAACAUUAACAAUUGUACAGAGUGUAUUAAACGUUUUUCUAUAAUUAGUUAUCUUAAAAAGAUUGAAAAGUGAAAGUGACAAUUUUUAAAGAAAAUUCCAAGCUUCAUUCUGAAUUGAUAUUAUAAGUAAAGUUUGAACAUUUUUUAAUAUUCUAUUUUUUAGCAUAUUUUAUUAUUAAAAAGUUUAGCAGUUUAGUAAUCGCCAAUAAAAAAUAUUGGAAUAUUAAAAAAUUUCAAAUAUGAACCAUAGAUAUAGUCUCUCCAAAAAUUUUCAAAGUUUUUAAAAUAGGAAUAUAAUUAUUUAAGUUAUUUAUAAGAAAAUUAAUUAUAGAAAAGGGAAUAUGGUGAUGAAGGUAGUAGCAUCGAUUAGUAAUUGAAAUAAUCAUCUAAAAGCACCAGAAGUGUGAAAUUAAGAAGUGUUCAGGCCAAUUCAGAGAGACAAAGUUACCUUGAUCGCCCAAAAAUGAAACGACGUGCGAAUGAGCGAAGGGGUGUAAGGUGCAAGACUGUCCCAUCUGUGGCAGCAGACGUUGCUUAUAUGGACGUGGUCGUAAAGGGGACCCCUUCUCACAAAACCAUCAUUGCCUUACCCCUCCCAUACGAACAAAGGCUCAAAGUUGACCAAAACUGGGUCGAUCUACUUUACUCCUCCACGUGUUCAAUCUUCGAGAAACCUGCUCCCUCAUAGGAACUGACAGUUAUGCAUCACCCUGUCCCUAUGACACGAUCAUUAAUUUCACCAUUUCGCAAUAUCACACUGGUCAUUAAGAGCACUUAAUUAUUCUGAAAAUCCGUUGCUCUUGAUUGACUUCUUGUAGUUAAUUGUUGAGAAAGAUUAAUUCUUGGCUAAGGAUUUGUAAAAAUAGUUUAAUCUAUACAACAUGGUAAUCUUCUAGAUGAUAGAAGUAUAUAGCAUAAAUCAAUCUGGUAAGUUUGUAACUACACAAAAUUUGGUUUCGUGGUAAUUUGAGUUUUUUAUAAUUAAUGAAGAAUAUUAAGAUACUUAUUUAAAUAAUAAUUUAUCUGAAUAUUAGUAGAGUAUGAAUUGAAUAAUGUCCAUGAACGUGAAAAGUUCUCUUUCUUUAACCACUUUUAUUUAUUCAUUUCUUUUUUCUAUAGGAUAUUAGCCACUUUGAUCACAAGAAUUUUUACUUAUAGGUUUGAGAAAUGAAUUUAUCGCAUAAAAUAUAAUUGAAAAAGAAAUUUGUCAUCAACGUGCUCGUUUAAAAGCAGUAAUCGAAGAUUAAUGAAUGAAGUGGAGCAAUUUUGAAUGCCAAAGGAUUAUAGGUAUUCGAAAGUGAAAACAGAGAAUUCAACUAGGUCGAUGCGCCUUUACAAUUCGAUUGUUAUUCGUCCCAUGUGCGUGUGGGCCCGUGUAAAAUUCAUCACUCACGAAAUGUUGACGCGAGCUUCUUUUAAAAAAAGUGAAAAGAACGUUUCCUGAACCGAUCACAUGAAAUUUUAUUAUUCCACGUUCAUUUAACAAGACGAUAAAUAUUGAAUAGUUACUAUUUCCGAUAAUAGAAUAUUUUGAAGAUUAAGACACAAAUCUAAGAUUUUAAUUUACUGAGUUUUGUUAGCUUAGGAUUACUUUAGAUUGAAAUUAAAAUCAUUAUAAUCAAGGAUAAUGCAUGGAAAAUUCAUAUUGUUCUUGUAAAUUAUUUUAUUUCAUUCAAAAGAUUUUUGAAAAAAUUGAUGUGUAAGCAAUAUGCGUACAGAUAUAGAUUUUAUCAAAGUAUGGCCUUAAUCUUAAUCCUAAAUUAAUCCUACAUUAAUAAACUAUAGUAAGCUAUAAUCUUAGACAAAAGUUAUAAAGAUCUUAAAAAAAAAAAAAGUUUUGCGUUGAAAAUUAAAGGCUUCUAUUAUGACUUUACCAUGAUCAGUUUUUUCUGCAAAGGUAUCAAGGUAAUCUUCUCUUAUUUUUUUUCUCAACAACAUACUUAUUUUUUAUUGACAAUUUAGAGCAACUUACGUCACGCUUAUAUAUAUUUACUUUCGUAUAGGACAGCUCUGGAAAUGAAAGACAAAACGAUUUAAAAGCAGAUUGGAAUCUAGAAAGGUCGUGGACAUGUUAAUUCAUUCCUCAUUCUCACUGGAUUUUAUCUUUAAUUUCGUUUCCUAUACCAUUAUUGUAACCUUAAAUCUCUUAUUCCAUUUCAUACUACUACAAGCAUUCUUUUUCCAGUACUAAGAUUGGUAAAAUGUCGUGAGCAAAAUUGUACGAGUACAAAUUCAGUUAUUUAUUAACAACAUCUUGCAAUGCUGAUUCGAAUGAUGCAACAAUAUUAAAAAUUAUAAUCAUAUCGGCGAUCAUCGUUUAAUAAAUAAUGCAGUUCGAUUUCGAAUUACCAAACUCAUUGCAAGCUCUAUAAUUGCUCAAAAGAAAUCACGUUGCUGUUGCGAAUUGAACAUACGACGACUGAUUAAUUAUUGUUCUGUAACCACAUGGUAACUCAUGUUAACUUCAUUUCAGACUUUACAUGGAUAGAAGUUGUGAGGGAUAAUUGUAUAUCAUAAAUAUUAAUUGCGAGUCAUUUAACUCGUGAUUUUCGAUUUCAAAAUUUAAAUAUUUACACAAUCGAUAAAUUGUGCUAUUAUCUUCUCUUAACAGAGGAGAUCCUGGUGCUUAAGUCCGGUCGUCAAGUGAUCAUUUCAGCCUUGCUCAAUAUCUAUGUAUGUAUAUGUACCAAGGUCGGGCGUUGAUCAAAGGAAUAACGAUCGAUAUUUUCAUGCUCUCGAUCCAGAUGAAAAUGUUGCGCAACUUUAUGUAUACCCUAAACCGAUAGAGAUGAUGUUUUCAGCGAAAGAAGUACUGUGUGAGUCCUUACGUACGAUAUGCAUCGGAAGAUGAAGAAAUAAUACAAAGUGCUGGAGUCAAGUGACAGGAAAAAUGAAGACCGAAGCAAUAAUAAUAAAUCAUUUGUACUUGUAAACAAAUUGCUGUUGCUUUAGAUGAAGUAGUUGACACGAUAAAUACUUAAAAGGAAACAGAAAGAAGGAAUUAUGGAGAGAUACGAAGUUAAAACGGAACCGAAUCCAUUUAUCUCACGUCAUUUAUGACGUUUUACAAGAGAGCAACUGCAAGUCAAUGUCAACAUCCCAUUACAUUACUUGAGCAUAUUUCUUUAGUCACUUACUCUUUAAAAAAUGUGUACAUAAAAUGGGUCAUGAAAAAUAAAAUAUUU